GCCACUUGCAACAAUACUAAACCUCACCCCACUCUAACCCUUAUUAACUAACGCAAACUCGUAUUUCAAUUCUCCUUCCUGAUAAUCCUGCUCAUCUUCUCUACACUGCCUACCACCUCAUCUCUUCUUUAUUCAACUUGCCUUUCAAUGACAUCCCAAGAGAAUCUUCCAUUCCACCUCAGUUCAUCUUCUCUGUAAUGUGUCCAAUGUCUACCGCCCUGCACUUGUAUCUGGUCUUUAUUUGUUGAACGAAAUUCCUGGAUUCAUCUCAACGUUCCAUAUUAUUUCAGUAUCUUUCUCUCACGAAAACUUUCAUAAUGUCAACAUUUCCUGCAAUCUUGGUUUUCUUAUCAUCCGUUUGAAAUAUCUACCACCCAAUGGCUGUUUUUUUAAACCCCCUAGGUCUAGGAUCUCAACAUCCCCUCUCCAUCAUACAUAGAGUCCGGUGUACGUAGUACUCCGGCGAUAAUAUAAGUCGACAUAGUCGGUGUCUUGAACCACCUGAAAAAGAUUACAUGUCAAGUUUUCCCUUCAAUUUUUCCAGAAAGGGAAGGCGUUCAGCUGGGAACUGGGCGUGUAGCUGGUUUGAUGCCAGGAUGAAGAAAGACGAAAGUACCUUAAAUCUAUUUUCAUCCAUAAAUGGCCACACCGCACCCAAUCUUAAAGAAACAUUUCAAUCUAUAAUGAAAGACAUUAAAUAACAUAUAAUCUAAGAAAUAGAGAAACUGAUUUAGCACUACCUAUGCCGAAAGGAGAAUUCGGCAAGAGGUGCUUCAGUUAUAACGGUGCCUCGCAUUGGAAUAAUC